UACAGAGACUGCAAGCGUUAUUCGGAUUCACUGGGCGUAAAGGGUGCGCAGGCGGCCGUGUGUGUAAGGUGUGAAAUCCCGGGGCUCAACCCCGGAACUGCGCCUUAAACUACAUGGCUAGAGUAUUGGAGAGGGUAGUGGAAUUCACGGUGUAGCAGUGAAAUGCGUAGAUAUCGUGAGGAACACCAGAGGCGAAGGCGACUACCUGGACAAUUACUGACGCUCAGGCACGAAAGCGUGGGGAGCAAAAGGG
rnacentral:rRNA from 1 species